rnacentral:rRNA from 1 species
UGGGGAAUUUUGGACAAUGGGCGAAAGCCUGAUCCAGCAAUGCCGCGUGUGUGAAGAAGGCCUUCGGGUUGUAAAGCACUUUUGUCCGGAAAGAAAUCCUCUGGGUUAAUACCUCGGGGGGAGUGACGGUACCGGAAGAAUAAGCACCGGCUAACUACGUGCCAGCAGCCGCGGUAAUACGUAGGGUGCAAGCGUUAAUCGGAAUUACUGGGCGUAAAGCGUGCGCAGGCGGUUUUGUAAGACGGAUGUGAAAUCCCCGGGCUUAACCUGGGAACUGCAUUCGUGACUGCAAGGCUAGAGUAUGGCAGAGGGGGGUAGAAUUCCACGUGUAGCAGUGAAAUGCGUAGAGAUGUGGAGGAAUACCGAUGGCGAAGGCAGCCCCCUGGGCCAAUACUGACGCUCAUGCACGAAAGCGUGGGGAGCAAACAGGAUUAGAUACCCUGGUAGUCCACGCCCUAAACGAUGUCAACUAGUUGUUGGGGAUUCAUUUCCUUAGUAACGUAGCUAACGCGUGAAGUUGACCGCCUGGGGAGUACGGUCGCAAGAUUAAAACUCAAAUGAAUUGACGGGGUCAUAGCUGUUUCCU